rnacentral:lncRNA from 1 species
AUAAUUAUCUUUAUCAUUGCUGUUCUGUGCCUCUCUGGGAUAGUAGUUUAUUGUUGCCUUAAAAAGAAAUCCAGGAAGUACUCUGUGGAAUUACAUCCCAAACAAGAAGAUGCUCAGAUCCCACUCAGCACAGUGGAUGUAGAGGUGUUUGACACCACAUCAGUCAAAGAUAUGCAAACAUUCACUCCUGUCGAGUCCACCAAGCCUGCGCCUGUGAAAGAAUCUGAGAAGCCUGAGGAAGGGAAAGAAUCAGCUGAUGUUAAACAAGAAAACCAACAGAAUUUAUCCAGCACUCAGGCCACAGAGAACCCAAAGGAUAAAAUAGAGGGGCUGACUGUAGUGGAUCUGACUGAUGGAGAACGGACAAUCUCCACUAAAACCUCAAUGGAAUCCCUAGAUGAUGUUCUCAAUGAAAACAACAGCAACAAUACAAGAGUUGAAGAUCUCUGAACCUGACUGAUGGGUUAUUUUAAACUGGAAGUAACAGCUGAAAUAAAUUGUAAACUAUGUGAGUCACUGUUAGAACAACGUUGUUUGAAUAUACAUACAGCACUAAGAAAAGUCUGUAAAAACAGGGCCCAGUAUAUUGUGUUAAUGUAAAGAAAUGUUCUGUAUAAAUUCUCACUAGUGUUUCACUCAUAUUUUAAAAUGCAUUGUGUUGUUUUAUGGUUAAAGGAAAUAUGCAUAAAUUUAAUGGAGUACAAC